rnacentral:lncRNA from 1 species
GACCUUCGGGGGCUGAUUUUUGGGCGCGGGUGUGCCCGUGGCCUAUUUUUGGCACACGGAGGCCGCCCGCAAAGUCUGGGGCCAUUCCGAGUCCGGAGGACGAACUUCGCCCACGCCCCCCACCAAGGCUAUAGCCCACCCGUUUUUUGGCCAUUUUUCCGCUGGAGGGUCUUGGCGCCCCGACCUUCGGGGGCUGAUCUUUGGGCGCGGGUGUGCCCGUGGCCUAUUUUUGGCACACGGAGGCCGCCCGCAAAGUCUGGGGCCAUUCCGAGUCCGGCGGACGAACUUCGCCCACGCCCCCCACCAAGGCUAUAGCCCACCCGUUUUUUGGCCAUUUUUCCGCUGGGGGGUCUUGGCUCCCCGACCUUCGGGGGCUGAUUUUUGGGCGCGGGUGUGCCCGUGGCCUAUUUUUGGCACACGGAGGCCGCCCGCAAAGUCUGGGGCCAUUCCGAGUCCGGCGGACGAACUUCGCCCACGCCCCCCACCAAGCUAUAGCCCACCCGUUUUUUGCCAUUUUUCCGCUGGGGGGUCUUGGCGCCCCGACCUUCGGGGGCUGAAUUUUGGGCGCGGGUGUGCCCGUGGCCUAUUUUUGGCACACGGAGGCCGCCCGCAAAGUCUGGGGCCAUUCCGAGUCCGGCGGACGAACUUCGCCCACGCCCCCCACCAAGGCUAUAGCCCACCCGUUUUUUGGCCAUUUUUCCGCUGGGGGGUCUUGGCGCCCCGACCUUCGUGGGCUGAAUUUUGGGCGCGGGUGUGCCCGUGGCCUAUUUUUUGCACACGGAGGCCUUCCGCAAAGUCUGGGGCCAUUCCGAGUCCCGCGGACGAACUUCGCCCACGCCCCCCACCAAGGCUAUAGCCCACCCGUUUUUUGGCCAUUUUUCCGCUGGGGGGUCUUGGCGCCCCGACCUUCGGGGGCUGAAUUUUGGGCGCGGGUGUGCCCGUGGCCUAUUUUUGGCACACGGAGGCCGCCCGCAAAGUCUGGGGCCAUUCCGAGUCCGGCGGGCGAACUUCGCCCACGCCCCCCACCAAGGCUAUAGCCCACCCGUUUUUUGGCCAUUUUUCCGCUGGGGGGUCUUGGCGCCCCGACCUUCGGGGGCUGAAUUUUGGGCGCGGGUGUGCCCGUGGCCUAUUUUUGGCACACGGAGGCCGCCCGCAAAGUCUGGAGCCAUUCCGAGUCCGGCGGACAAACUUCGCCCACGUCCCCCACCAAGGCUAUAGCCCACCCGUUUUUUGGCCAUUUUUCCGCUGGGGGGUCUUGGCGCCCCGACCUUCGGGGGCUGAAUUUUGGGCGCGGGUGUGCCCGUGGCCUAUUUUUGGCACACGGAGGCCGCCCGCAAAGUCUGGGGCCAUUCCGAGUCCGGCGGACGAACUUCGCCCACGCCCCCCACCAAGGCUAUAGCCCACCCGUUUUUUGGCCAUUUUUCCGCUAGGGGGUCUUGGCGCCCCGACCUUCGGGGGCUGAUUUUUGGGCGCGGGUGUGCCCGUGGCCUAUUUUUGGCACACGGAGGCCGCCCGCAAAGUCUGGGGCCAUUCCGAGUCCGGCGGACGAACUUCGCCCACGCCCCCCACCAAGGCUAUAGCCCACCCGUUUUUUGGCCAUUUUUCCGCUGGGGGGUCUUGGCGCCCCGACCUUCGGGGGCUGAUUUUUGGGCGCGGGUGUGCCCGUGGCCUAUUUUUGGCACACGGAGGCCGCCCGCAAAGUCUGGGGCCAUUCCGAGUCCGGCGGACGAACUUCGCCCACGCCCCCCACCAAGGCUAUAGCCCACCCGUUUUUUGGCCAUUUUUCCGCUGGGGGGUCUUGGCUCCCCGACCUUCGGGGGCUGAUUUUUGGGCGCGGGUGUGCCCGUGGCCUAUUUUUGGCACACGGAGGCCGCCCGCAAAGUCUGGGGCCAUUCCGAGUCCGGCGGACGAACUUCGCCCACGCCCCCCACCAAGGCUAUAGCCCACCCGUUUUUUGGCCAUUUUUCCGCUGGGGGGUCUUGGCGCCCCGACCUUCGGGGGCUGAUUUUUGGGCGCGGGUGUGCCCGUGGCCUAUUUUUGGCACACGGAGGCCGCCCGCAAAGUCUGGGGCCAUUCCGAGUCCGGCGGACGAACUUCGCCCACGCCCCGCACCAAGGCUAUAGCCCACCCGUUUUUUGGCCAUUUUUCCGCUGGGGGGUCUUGGCGCCCCGACCUUCGGGGGCUGAAUUUUGGGCGCGGGUGUGCCCGUGGCCUAUUUUUGGCACACGGAGGCCGCCCGCAAAGUCUGGGGCCAUUCCGAGUCCGGCGGACGAACUUCGCCCACGCCCCCCACCAAGGCUAUAGCCCACCCGUUUUUUGGCCAUUUUUCCGCUGGGGGGUCUUGGCGCCCCGACCUUCGGGGGCUGAUUUUUGGGCGCGGCUGUGCCCGUGGCCUAUUUUUGGCACACGGAGGCCGCCCGCAAAGUCUGGGGCCAUUCCGAGUCCGGCGGACGAACUUCGCCCACCACCCCCACCAAGGCUAUAGCCCACCCGUUUUUUGGCCAUUUAUCCGCUGGGGGGUCUUGGCGCCCCGACCUUCGGGGGCUGAAUUUUGGGCGCGGGUGUGCCCGUGGCCUAUUUUUGGCACACGGAGGCCGCCCGCAAAGUCUGGGGCCAUUCCGAGUCCGGCGGACGAACUUCGCCCACGCCCCCCACCAAGGCUAUAGCCCACCCGUUUUUUGGCCAUUUUUCCGCUGGGGGGUCUUGGCGCCCCGACCUUCGGGGGCUGAUUUUUGGGCGCGGGUGUGCCCGUGGCCUAUUUUUGGCACACGGAGGCCGCCCGCAAAGUCUGGGGCCAUUCCGAGUCCGGCGGACGAACUUCGCCCACGCCCCCCACCAAGGCUAUAGCCCACCCGUUUUUUGGCCAUUUUUCCGCUGGGGGGUCUUGGCUCCCCGACCUUCGGGGGCUGAUUUUUGGGCGCGGGUGUGCCCGUGGCCUAUUUUUGGCACACGGAGGCCGCCCGCAAAGUCUGGGGCCAUUCCGAGUCCGGCGGACGAACUUCGCCCACGCCCCCCACCAAGGCUAUAGCCCACCCGUUUUUUGGCCAUUUUUCCGCUGGGGGGUCUUGGCGCCCCGACCUUCGGGGGCUGAAUUUUGGGCGCGGGUGUGCCCGUGGCCUAUUUUUUGCACACGGAGGCCGCCCGCAAAGUCUGGGGCCAUUCCGAGUCCGGCGGACGAACUUCGCCCACGCCCCCCACCAAGGCUAUAGCCCACCCGUUUUUUGGCCAUUUUUCCGCUGGGGGGUCUUGGCGCCCCGACCUUCGGGGGCUGAAUUUUGGGCGCGGGUGUGCCCGUGGCCUAUUUUUGGCACACGGAGGCCGCCCGCAAAGUCUGGGGCCAUUCCGAGUCCGGCGGACGAACUUCGCCCACGCCCCCCACCAAGGCUAUAGCCCACCCGUUUUUUGGCCAUUUUUCCGCUGGGGGGUCUUGGCGCCCCGACCUUCAGGGGCUGAUUUUUGGGCGCGGGUGUGCCCGUGGCCUAUUUUUGGCAAACGGAGGCCGCCCGCAGAGUCUGGGGCCAUUCCGAGUCCGGCGGACGAGCUUCGCCCACGCCCCCCACCAAGGCUAUAGCCCACCCGUUUUUUGGCCAUUUUUCCGCUGGGGGGUCUUGGCGCCCCGACCUUCGGGGGCUGAUUUUUGGGCGCGGGUGUGCCCGUGGCCUAUUUUUGGCACACGGAGGCCGCCCGCAAAGUCUGGGGCCAUUCCGAGUCCGGCGGACGAACUUCGCCCACGCCCCCCACCAAGGCUAUAGCCCACCCGUUUUUUGGCCAUUUUUCCGCUGGGGGGUCUUGGCGCCCCGACCUUCGGGGGCUGAUUUUUGGGCGCGGGUGUGCCCGUGGCCUAUUUUUGGCAUACGGAGGCCGCCCGCAAAGUCUGGGGCCAUUCCGAGUCCGGCGGACGAACUUCGCCCACGCCCCCCACCAAGGCUAUAGCCCACCCGUUUUUUGGCCAUUUUUCCGCUGGGGGGUCUUGGCUCCCCGACCUUCGGGGGCUGAUUUUUGGGCGCGGGUGUGCCCGUGGCCUAUUUUUGGCACACGGAGGCCGCCCGCAAAGUCUGGGGCCAUUCCGAGUCCGGCGGACGAACUUCGCCCACGCCCCCCACCAAGGCUAUAGCCCACCCGUUUUUUGGCCAUUUUUCCGCUGGGGGGUCUUGGCGCCCCGACCUUCGGGGGCUGAAUUUUGGGCGCGGGUGUGCCCGUGGCCUAUUUUUGGCACACGGAGGCCGCCCGCAAAGUCUGGGGCCAUUCCGAGUCCGGCGGACGAACUUCGCCCACGCCCCCCACCAAGGCUAUAGCCCACCCGUUUUUUGGCCAUUUUUCCGCUGGGGGGACUUGGCUCCCCGACCUUCGGGGGCUGAUUUUUGGGCGCGGGUGUGCCCGUGGCCUAUUUUUGGCACACGGAGGCCGCCCGCAAAGUCUGGGGCCAUUCCGAGUCCGGCGGACGAACUUCGCCCACGCCCCCCACCAAGGCUAUAGCCCACCCGUUUUUUGGCCAUUUUUCCGCUGGGGGGUCUUGGCGCCCCGACCUUCGGGGGCUGAAUUUUGGGCGCGGGUGUGCCCGUGGCCUAUUUUUGGCACACGGAGGCCGCCCGCAAAGUCUGGGGCCAUUCCGAGUCCGGCGGACGAACUUCGCCCACGCCCCCCACCAAGGCUAUAGCCCACCCGUUUUUUGGCCAUUUUUCCGCUGGGGGGUCUUGGCGCCCCGACCUUCGGGGGCUGAAUUUUGGGCGCGGGUGUGCCCGUGGCCUAUUUUUGGCACACGGAGGCCGCCCGCAAAGUCUGGGGCCAUUCCGAGUCCGGCGGACGAACUUCGCCCACGCCCCCCACCAAGGCUAUAGCCCACCCGUUUUUUGGCCAUUUUUCCGCUGGGGGGUCUUGGCGCCCCGACCUUCGGGGGCUGAAUUUUGGGCGCGGGUGUGUCCGUGGCCUAUUUUUGGCACACGGAGGCCGCCCGCAAAGUCUGGGGCCAUUCCGAGUCCGGCGGACGAACUUCGCCCACGCCCCCCACCAAGGCUAUAGCCCACCCGUUUUUUGGCCAUUUUUCCGCUGGGGGGUCUUGGCGCCCCGACCUUCGGGGGCUGAAUUUUGGGCGCGGGUGUGCCCGUGGCCUAUUUUUGGCACACGGAGGCCGCCCGCAAAGUCUGGGGCCAUUCCGAGUCCGGCGGACGAGCUUCGCCCACACCCCCCACCAAGGCUAUAGCCCACCCGUUUUUUGGCCAUUUUUCCGCUGGGGGGUCUUGGCGCCCCGACCUUCGGGGGCUGAAUUUUGGGCGCGGGUGUGCCCGUGGCCUAUUUUUGGCACACGGAGGCCGCCCGCAAAGUCUGGGGCCAUUCCGAGUCCGGCGGACGAACUUCGCCCACGCCCCCCACCAAGGCUAUAGCCCACCCGUUUUUUGGCCAUUUUUCCGCUGGGGGGUCUUGGCGCCCCGACCUUCGGGGGCUGAUUUUUGGGCGCGGGUGUGCCCGUGGCCUAUUUUUGGCACACGGAGGCCGCCCGCAAAGUCUGGGGCCAUUCCGAGUCCGGCGGACGAACUUCGCCCACGCCCCCCACCAAGGCUAUAGCCCACCCGUUUUUUGGCCAUUUUUCCGCUGGGGGGUCUUGGCGCCCCGACCUUCGGGGGCUGAAUUUUGGGCGCGGGUGUGCCCGUGGCCUAUUUUUGGCACACGGAGGCCGCCCGCAAAGUCUGGGGCCAUUCCGAGUCCGGCGGACGAACUUCGCCCACGCCCCCCACCAAGGCUAUAGCCCACCCGUUUUUUGGCCAUUUUUCCGCUGGGGGGUCUUGGCGCCCCGACCUUCGGGGGCUGAAUUUUGGGCGCGGGUGUGCCCGUGGCCUAUUUUUGGCACACGGAGGCCGCCCGCAAAGUCUGGGGCCAUUCCGAGUCCGGCGGACGAACUUCGCCCACGCCCACCACCAAGGCUAUAGCCCACCCGUUUUUUGGCCAUUUUUCCGCUGGGGGGUCUUGGCGCCCCGACCUUCGGGGGCUGAAUUUUGGGCGCGGGUGUGCCCGUGGCCUAUUUUUGGCACACGGAGGCCGCCCGCAAAGUCUGGGGCCAUUCCGAGUCCGGCGGACGAGCUUCGCCCACGCCCCCCACCAAGGCUAUAGCCCACCCGUUUUUUGGCCAUUUUUCCGCUGGGGGGUCUUGGCGCCCCGACCUUCGGGGGCUUAAUUUUGGGCGCGGGUGUGCCCGUGGCCUAUUUUUGGCACACGGAGGGCGCCCGCAAAGUCUGGGGCCAUUCCGAGUCCGGCGGACGAACUUCGCCCACGUCCCCCACCAAGGCUAUAGCCCACCCAUUUUUUGGCCAUUUUUCCGCUGGGGGGUCUUGGCGCCCCGACCUUCGGGGGCUGAUUUUUGGGCGCGGGUGUGCCCGUGGCCUAUUUUUGGCACACGGAGGCCGCCCGCAAAGUCUGGGGCCAUUCCGAGUCCGGCGGACGAACUUCGCCCACGCCCCCCACCAAGGCUAUAGCCCACCCGUUUUUUGGCCAUUUUUCCGCUGGGGGGUCUUGGCGCCCCGACCUUCGGGGGCUGAUUUUUGGGCGCGGGUGUGCCCGUGGCCUAUUUUUGGCACACGGAGGCCGCCCGCAAAGUCUGGGGCCAUUCCGAGUCCGGCGGACGAACUUCGCCCACGCCCCCCACCAAGGCUAUAGCCCACCCGUUUUUUGGCCAUUUUUCCGCUGGGGGGUCUUGGCGCCCCGACCUUCGGGGGCUGAUUUUUGGGCGCGGGUGUGCCCGUGGCCUAUUUUUGGCACACGGAGGCCGCCCGCAAAGUCUGGGGCCAUUCCGAGUCCGGCGGACGAGCUACGCCCACGCCCCCCACCAAGGCUAUAGCCCACCCAUUUUUUGGCCAUUUUUCCGCUGGGGGGUCUUUGCGCCCCGACCUUCGGGGGCUGAAUUUUGGGCGCGGGUGUGCCCGUGGCCUAUUUUUGGCACACGGAGGCCGCCCGCAAAGUCUGGGGCCAUUCCGAGUCCGGCGGACGAACUUCGCCCACGCCCCCCACCAAGGCUAUAGCCCACCCGUUUUUUGGCCAUUUUUCCGCUGGGGGGUCUUGGCGCCCCGACCUUCGGGGGCUGAUUUUUGGGCGCGGGUGUGCCCGUGGCCUAUUUCGGGCACACGGAGGCCGCCCGCAAAGUCGGGGGCCAUUUCGAGUCCGGCGGACGAACUUCGCCCACGCCCCCCACCAAGGCUAUAGCCCACCCGUUUUUUGGCCAUUUUUCCGCUGGGGGGUCUUGGCGCCCCGACCUUCGGGGGCUGAAUUUUGGGCGCGGGUGUGCCCGUGGCCUAUUUUUGGCACACGGAGGCCGCCCGCAAAGUCUGGGGCCAUUCCGAGUCCGGCGGACGAACUUCGCCCACGCCCCCCACCAAGGCUAUAGCCCACCCGUUUUUUGGCCAUUUUUCCGCUGGGGGGUUUUGGCACCACGACCUUCGCGCGCUUAUUUCUGGGCGCGGCUUUGCCCGCGGCUUAUUUUUGGCACCCCGAGGCCCCUCGCAAAGUCUCGCCCCAUUCCGAGUCCGGCGGACGAACUUCGCCCGCGCCCCCCACCAAGGCUAUAGCCCACCCGUUUUUUGGCCAUUUUUCCGCUGGGGGGUUUUGGCACCACGACCUUCGCGCGCUUAUUUCUGGGCGCGGCUUUGCCCGCGGCUUAUUUUUGGCACCCCGAGGCCCCUCGCAAAGUCUCGCCGCAUUCCGAGUCCGGCGGACGAACGUCGCCCGCGCCCCCCACCAAGUCUAUAGCCCACCCGUUUUUUGGCCAUUUUUCCGCUCGGGGGUUUUGGCACCACGACCUUCGGGCGCUUAUUUUUGGGCGCGGCUUUGCCCGCGGCUUAUUUUUGGCACCCCGAGGCCCCUCGCAAAGUCUCGCCCCAUUCCGAGUCCGGCGGACGAACUUCGCCCGCGCCCCCCACCAAGGCUAUAGCCCACCCGUUUUUUGGCCAUUUUUCCGCUGGGGGGUCUUGGCGCCCCGACCUUCGGGGGCUGAUUUUUGGGCGCGGGUG